rnacentral:rRNA from 1 species
GUGAGGAAUAUUGGUCAAUGGGCGAAAGCCUGAACCAGCCAUGUCGCGUGAAGGAUGAAGGUCCUAUGGAUUGUAAACUUCUUUUGCAGGAGGGUAAAGUGAGCUACGUGUAGUUCAUUGCACGUACCCUGCGAAUAAGCAUCGGCUAACUCCGUGCCAGCAGCCGCGGUAAUACGGAGGAUGCGAGCGUUAUCCGGAUUUAUUGGGUUUAAAGGGUGCGUAGGCGGACUAAUUAGUCAGCGGUGAAAUUUUGCGGCUAAACCGUAAAACUGCCGUUGAAACUGUUAGUCUUGAGUGCGGUAGAGGUAGGCGGAAUGUGUGGUGUAGCGGUGAAAUGCUUAGAUAUCACGCAGAACACCGAUUGCGUAGGCAGCUUACUGGAGCGCAACUGACGCUGAGGCACGAAAGCGUGGGGAUCGAACAGGAUUAGAUACCCGUGUAGUCC